UACGGGGGGGGCAAGCGUUGUUCGGAAUUACUGGGCGUAAAGGGCUUGUAGGCGGCCAACUAAGUCCGACGUGAAAUCCCCAGGCUUAACCUGGGAACUGCGUCGGAUACUGGAUGGCUUGAAUUCGGGAGAGGGAUGCAGAAUUCCAGGUGUAGCGGUGAAAUGCGUAGAUAUCUGGAGGAAUACCGGUGGCGAAGGCGGCAUCCUGGACCGACAUUGACGCUGAGGCACGAAAGCGUGGGGAGCAAACAGG
rnacentral:rRNA from 1 species